UGGGAACGUGCCCUUUGGUUCGGAACAACUCCGGGAAACUGGAGCUAAUACCGGAUAAGCCCUUCGGGGGAAAGACUUAUCGCCAAAGGAUCGGCCCGCGUCUGAUUAGCUUGUUGGUGAGGUAACGGCUCACCAAGGCGACGACGGGUAGCUGGUCUGAGAGGAUGGCCAGCCACAUUGGGACNGAGACGACCGGCCCGACGACCGUACCGUACGGGACGGCG
rnacentral:rRNA from 1 species